rnacentral:rRNA from 1 species
AUUGAACGCUGGCGGCAGGCCUAACACAUGCAAGUCGAGCGGAUGAAGGGAGCUUGCUCCUGGAUUCAGCGGCGGACGGGUGAGUAAUGCCUAGGAAUCUGCCUGGUAGUGGGGGAUAACGUCCGGAAACGGGCGCUAAUACCGCAUACGUCCUGAGGGAGAAAGUGGGGGAUCUUCGGACCUCACGCUAUCAGAUGAGCCUAGGUCGGAUUAGCUAGUUGGUGGGGUAAAGGCCUACCAAGGCGACGAUCCGUAACUGGUCUGAGAGGAUGAUCAGUCACCCGGGAAGUGAGACACGGUCCAGAGUCCUACGGGAGGGCGCAGUGGGGAAUAUUGGACAACGGGCGAAAGCCUGAUCCAGCCAUGCCGAGUGUGUGAAGAAGGUCUUCGGAUUGUAAAGCACUUUAAGUUGGGAGGAAGGGCAGUAAGUUAAUACCUUGCUGUUUUGACGUUACCAACAGAAUAAGCACCGGCUAACUUCGUG